AGGUCAAAGUUUAACCUAAGUGCAGUGUAGCUGAUGAACAUCUUUAUAUUCCCUUUAUUAAUCUGGGGUAACCACAGCGGAAUGAACUGUCAAUUUAUCCAGCAUAUGUUUUACGCAGUGGAUGCCCUUCCAGCUGCAAGCCAUCACUGGGAAACAACCAUAUACGCUUAUUCACACUCAUACACUACAGACAAUUAAGCCUACCCAAUUCACCUGUACCCCAUGUCUUUGGACUUGUAGGCAAAACCGGAGCACCCAGAGAAAACCCACGCAAACGCAGGGAGAAUUUGCAGACUCCACACAGAAAUGCCAGCUGAAAUGGAUGCCUGAUUGCAGUUCAACUCCAAACUCAGUUGGACCAGCUGAUCAGUGUCUUCAGUAUUACCACCAGCUACUGGGCAGAUGUGUGGACAGCUAUGAGCCAAACUUGGGACGUUUGGUUUUUAGGUCCUCCUGAUCAUUCUGUUCUCCUGGUUGUGAGGAUGUGCAGAGGCUGUAUUUGUCAGUGUUAAAAGACUUGUGCAGCUGUAUCUAGACAUACAAGCAGCCGACAAAGAGUUCUGGAGCAGGACAGACAGAUUGGUGUACGCUGAUGGUCUGCUGAGAAUUCUGCUGAGUUGAAGGGAUCCUCCUGUCAGACAACCUCUCCAAAGUACAAUAGGACUAGGUUCCCACUACAAGGAUUAGAUUUGGCUACUGCAGUCCCGGUUUGGGCCAGCCUCACUUGUGAAGACUAAAGAUGAAGACAACAUACAAGAACAAUUUAGAGGAUGGCGACACACUUUUUAUUCCACCUCUAUA
ensembl:processed_transcript